GACGAACGCUGGCGGCGUGCCUAAUACAUGCAAGUCGAACGAAGCUGUUUUAACUGGUGCUUGCACCGACUUAAACAACUGAGUGGCGAACGGGUGAGUAACACGUGGGUAACCUGCCCCAAAGCGGGGGAUAACAUUUGGAAACAGAUGCUAAUACCGCAUAAUCACAGAAACCACAUGGUUUCUGUGUCAAAGAUGGGUUCGGCUUUAACUUUGGGAUGGACCCGCGGCGUAUUAGCUAGUUGGUAAGGUAAUGGCUUACCAAGGCAAUGAUACGUAGACGAACUGAGAGGUUGAUCGGCCACAUUGGGACUGAGACACGGCCCAAACUCCGACGGGAGGCAGCAGUAGGGAAUCUUCCACAAUGGACGAAAGUCUGAUGGAGCAACGCCGCGUGAGUGAAGAAGGUUUUCGGAUCGUAAAACUCUGUUGUCAGAGAAGAACGUGUGCGAGAGUAACUGUUCGUGCAGUGACGGUAUCUGGCCAGAAAGCCACGGCUAACUACGUGCCAGCAGCCGCCGUAA
rnacentral:rRNA from 1 species